GACGAACGCUGGCGGCGUGCUUAACACAUGCAAGUCGAACGGAAAGGCCCUGCUUUUGUGGGGUGCUCGAGUGGCGAACGGGUGAGUAACACGUGAGUAACCUGCCCUUGACUUUGGGAUAACUUCAGGAAACUGGGGCUAAUACCGGAUAGGAGCUCCUGCUGCAUGGUGGGGGUUGGAAAGUUUCGGCGGUUGGGGAUGGACUCGCGGCUUAUCAGCUUGUUGGUGGGGUAGUGGCUUACCAAGGCUUUGACGGGUAGCCGGCCUGAGAGGGUGACCGGCCACAUUGGGACUGAGAUACGGCCCAGACUCCUACGGGAGGCAGCAGUGGGGAAUAUUGCACAAUGGGCGGAAGCCUGAUGCAGCAACGCCGCGUGCGGGAUGACGGCUUUCGGGUUGUAAACCGCUUUCGCCUGUGACGAAGCGUGAGUGACGGUAAUGGGUAAAGAAGCACCGGCUAACUACGU
rnacentral:rRNA from 1 species